UGUUUCUGGUGGCUGCUCCGGACGCUCCGGUAGUCGUGUAAUGGUCGUGUAACACUGUUAAAUUGUUUGUAAUUUUGUACGCGUCUGUUUCUGUUCGGUGCUAGCUUGUGCUUGUUCUUUCUCUCUCCGUCGUUCUCCUCUGUUCACGGGUUUCCAACUAUUUCCGCGUCUGCUCAGUUCGCCCGUUCGCCGUUCGGCAGUUUUUUUUUCACGGUUUCACGGUACACGGCGUUUGUGAUUAAUAUUAUUAAUUAUUAUAAUAUUCUUUUAUCGGUUAAUUAUUUUUCUGUGAUUUAAUAAACACACGUUAAACGAUUGCGCGAGUGGUGUUCUGAAUUCCAAGCUCCUGUGCGUAGGCACCGGAUCCAAUCCACGUUCACGGCACAGGCCGAGCGGCGCAGCUACUACUCACUCUCCGGCGACUGGCGUUUUACAAUUUCUUAGUUCACUUCACUGCACUUAAAUACGUCAUAACAGAUCGGAGUACUGGAGCCUGAAAUCAUAGUCCGUUCUGUGUGUCUACCAUUGCAACUGGAAUAUGUUUAAAACAUUCUGUGCAAGGUGCUUUGAGUUUUGACGUCAUCUGUGGAUCAACAUCAACCCGCUAUUGUUGUACCUAUAUUGAUUGUCAGCAGCCUGGCCAUACAUUUAUGUUCAUUGUCUUCAAUUGGAAAAUCACAAGUGUAUAGUAUUUUAAACUAUGAAUUUUCUGCAAUUUGAUGAAUUUCAUGACUCAAUGAACGAAUUGAGACCUGCAAAAAAACAAGCCCAGUUAGAUGUGUUUUGUUCAAAAUAUUCAAACAGUGAAGCACCAAUAUCAGUUAUUGCAAAGAUCUUGUCAGAAAAUUACUCUUUAAAACUUAAAAAUAUUUCCGAUGAAUUCGACAAGGUAGGGUUUACCAAAGUGAAGCAUUUGGCACAAGCAACCCUUGAAAAAGUAAGGUUGGUGCAGUUAUCUGGAGAUUCUCUAAAGCUGCUUAAUGGAGCUAUGGAGAUAUAUAGUAAACGCCUUGAUGAUUUCUUACAAUCUGCAUACUUAGAAUUUCAAAAUGGAAAUUUAUACAAUACUCAACGAAUAUGUAAAGAAUUAUUUUUACAUAAACCAACAGACAUGGAUGUUAUUAUGCUUCAAUCCAGUUCAUUUUACAAAGGCGGAAAUUAUCAAGAAUGUAUUGAUUGUCUACUAAUAGGAAAAAAUAUUAAUCCUAAUUGUACCAAACUCUUAAAUAACCUUGCAAUAUCUUAUUUUAAAAAUUCCGAAAUUGAAUUAUCAAAAAAAUAUCUUUCUGAAGUUUGUCGAUUACAACCUUCGGUUGGUAAUUUGUCCAUAUAUGCCGAAUUGUUACGCCAUUCAAAAGACUUCACCACAGCUGAACUUACUUAUAUACGGGUUUUAAAGCUAGACCCUGAACUAUACAAAGUACGUAAUAACUAUGGAGAGUUGCUUGUAGACUUAAACAAAAUACAAGAGGCUAAAAUGCAAUUUAAGAUUGCCCUUAACAGUGGGACAGAAUGUUCAAGAACUUUAAGGAAUUUAGGAUUUCUUUAUAAUUUAAUCGGUAAAUUUGAAAAAGCUAUUUCUUAUUUUGAUAGAGCUUUGAAAGUUAAUCCUCAUCCAAAGGAUACUCGUGAUGGUUUAAUAGUGGCUUAUUUAAAAAUUAAAGAGUAUCAAAAAGCAAUUACUGAAUUAUUAAAAAUAUUAAAAACAGAUCCAGAAAAUGAAAAAGUUUUAACUUAUUUAGCACUUGCAUACAAUAUUCUAGGUAAUCACCUAAUGUCUGCUGCAGUAUAUAAAAAGUGCUUGAAACUUAAACCUGACGACUUUCGUUUUAAUUAUAAUAUUUCUUUGGUAUAUUUUACUUUUCUUAAAAAUUAUGAAGAAGCUAUAAUAUAUUUAAAAAAAUGUAUCGAGUUAAAUCCGAAUAAAAACCUUUACUCUAUGCUUAUGACUGCAUACAAGGAAAUUGGUGAACACAUAAAUGUGUCUGAUAUUGCCCUCAUAUUGGGUGAUUUGUAUCUGGAAUCUGAUGAGCUGGACCAGGCAAGAAUACAUUUCAUUCGCGCAGUAAGUUACAACCCUGAGAAUGCAAUUUGUCAUUGGAAGGUGGGACUGAUCAUGUUUACUCAGGAUGAUUUAGACACGGCUUUUUCCAGUUAUUCUAACUGUGGAAACUCAUGGAGAUAUUGCAACUGCUAUUUCUGGUAAGCUAAAUCGUGUUCUUUUGAAAAACAAAGGCUGGAAACAAUUACUGGACAUUAACACUUUACUGUGUGGCGUUUCAUCAGACAAAAUUAAUUAUCAUGGGUUUGAUUUAAACAAAACUUCUUGCAUGAAGUAUGCACCGAUCACUUCAGUGGAUGUAGAGCGAUCAUUUUCUAUGUAUAAAAACAUCAUGUCAGACAAUAGAGUCAGUUUCACUUCUGAAAAUCUUGCCAAAUACAUGUUAUGAAAAAGCUAUUGAAUUGAAUCCAGAUCUGAGAAACUAUAAAUGUGAAGGCAAGAAAUAUUAUGAUAAGUAUAAAAAAUAUAUGGAAUCACCAUUAGACAAAU